GAGAAACGAGAUGGGGGUGAAGCUGGAGAUAUUUCGGAUGAUAAUCUACCUCACUUUCCCUGUGGCUAUGUUCUGGGUUUCCAAUCAGGCCGAGUGGUUUGAGGACGAUGUCAUACAGCGCAAGAGGGAGCUGUGGCCACCUGAGAAGGUAAGUGAUCUCUUCUUCCUGCCAGAGGGAUGGAGGAGGCUGGAUUCUUGUAUCCGGGAUGGGUUUUAGAUGAAAAUUUUAGGCCAGGCGCAGUGGCUCAUGCUUGUAAUCCCAGGGCAUGGGAGGCUGAGGUGGGUAGAUCACUUGAGGUCAGGAGUUCAAAACCAGCCUGGCCAACAUGGCGAAACCCCAUGUCUACAGAAAUACAAAACUUAGCCAGGCAUGGUGGCAGGCGCCUAUAAUUCCAGCUGCUUGGGAGGCUGAGGGAGAAGAAUCACUUGAACCCAGGAGGUGGAGGUUGCAGUGAGCCCAAGAUCACGCCACUGCACUCCAGCCUGGGCAAUAGAGUGAGACUUUGUCUCAAAAAGAAACAUUUUACUCUCAGCCAUGAGUAAGGAACCGAGAGCAGAGGAGUAGAUGGUUUCCUUAUUGCCUUCUCCUGGAAGAGUGAAGCGGAUCCCACGCGGACCCCUUUCUUCAAGAGAUAGAGGAAUUCAAAGAGAGGUUACGGAAGCGGCGGGAGGAGAAGCUCCUUCGCGACGCCCAGCAGAACUCCUGAGGCCUCCAAGUGGGAGUCCUAGCCCCUCCCCUGAUGAAAUAUACAUAUACUCAGUUCCUUGUUA
rnacentral:lncRNA from 1 species